UAAGCAUGUGACCUCAGUCUUCAGGGUAUGCAGUAAAGGAUUAACUUUGCCCUGGAGAGGUUUGGCCCUUUUGCUCCCAGCUGCAGGGCUGUAAUUUCUAAGCCCUUGGAAUGUUCUGCCUGUAGGAGUGUCUUUGUUUACUGGAGGUCUUGAGCAAUACCAGAUAGUCUGUGCUUACAAUGUAACUUUUGGUGGGGGGGCCUUUGGACAUGUGGUACCACUCAAGCUCCAGAGGGGUUAGAGACUAAGGGUAGUCACAUGGGUGAACAGAAUGUCCGAAUGGCCAACUCCCAGUAAAAACUCUGGACAACAAAGCUUGGAAGGAGAGGAAAAGGCCCAACACCUGCCUGUCAGGGCUCCUGGAUCACGCCCUGCUGCCUGCUGACCUAUAUUGGACUCGAGCCCUUCUUCUGGCAUGCUCACCUGUUAACCCACCUAUCAGCCCACACCUCUGACUGCUGGCUGCUCCCCAUUGAGCCUGAAAUACUGUGCUAUCUGCCUGUACCCUUUUGCAUAAGCUGGGGUUGGGUUAUCUCAGAUUUCUAUUUGGGUCAAGAUUGCCACAUACCUCACCUCUUCUGUUCUGGUCCUCAUCCUGUGUUCCUGGACAAAAAUAACAUUUGAGUAGAAAGCUUUUCUACUUGUUGACAUAGUUGAACAGAUUUUGCUUUAUUGAGAUGAAAUGGAGCCUAAAUUUAUCUGGAAAUGUGUGGAAUCAGUAGAGAGAAGUAAACACAACUCGAAGAAAGCGGGAAACCCCUGUGUACAAUUCAGCUUUUUCACUCCCAGGGAGUUGGGCAUGAUUGUAAAGAAUGAUGUUUUCAAGCCUGCCAAUAACAGAACACGUCUGUAUCCAUUGUGGAUGGGCUUCUUUGAGAAAGCUUCCUUUUCGCCCAAGUAGAGGAGCUCUUCACUGCCCUAAGAUUCUGCUUUCCUACUCCCAUGUCAGAGCAGGAAAAGGUGAAUAUUUUUCACACAGAAUAGCCUCAUCCAUUCCCACGGGGAGUGAGAUAGUUCCUGUAGGGUGCUAGUGAUGGCAUAAAAUUACAGCUCACUAGAGAAACAGUUGCGAGUAAAGAAAUAUAUACAUUUCCUCUAUUUGUGUUCCCUGUCUGUGUUGUCUAAGUUGCAAACAACAGACUCCACUUCAGCUAGGUUAAAGGGAAAAGAGGUUUAAUAAAGAAAAUUAAAUAGCUUAUAGCAUCACUGGGGAACUAGAGAAACAGAUUUAAGGCUAAGCUUCCAGAAACAUAUCCCAAAACAUGCCCCCAAACCGUGACACUGACAUGAAGAGACAGUUGUCAUUGCUGCUUUAUUGAACAGAGGACUGAGAAUUUUUCUACAGUCACUGCUGUUCUCUGCACUGAUGGAAGCCAAGCCUGCCUGGAGAACUCAACUUUGCAACCCAAAGCUGGUGGCUAAUGUGGCUACCCCUACCAACAAAAUGGAAACUCCACCAGGUGUCUGAAUCCAGCUCUCACGACCAUUUAGUGGAGCAGGAAGAAACUGCAGGCCUUUUGGAGGUAUUUCCUUGUGAUUCUGGUCCAAUCCACCACCACCGUCUCACGCUUAGAACCCUGCAAUCCUUCUUUCAAAGAUCCCUUUUGUAGAAGCACGGAGAUCAUGUAAUUGGCUGAGAACAACUAUCCAGUCUGAGAGGAUGACCUUUUACCCUCUACCCAAAAAGAGCACUCCAGAGAGAAAGGUGCCGUAAUCUGGGUUUAAGGCUUCUUACCAUCAUGUGGAGAGCCUGUUUCCUGUGCCACACACACAGUGGCAAGAAAGCUCAGCUUCAACAUUAAUGUAGAACUUCCCACGUUGCUCUUGAGAAAAUCCACUCCUUAAAGAGGAAGAAAGGACCUCACCCCAUGCCUCCCUCCCUCGGUGGAGAUGCCCACACAUGGGCACUCGGAACCAGUUGCAGGCAACUGUGAAUUGGGAGGAAGGAAAGAAGAGAUUAGGACUGAAAGAGGUGAGUAUGUUCAAGUCUGUUUCUAGUGUAGAGAUAGCGAGAUGGUCACCCGUUAAUUCAUUUGCAAGGCUGAGAGUAAUGCUGAAUCCUGGCUUAGGACACCAGUAGAUGACUUCCCAACAAAUAAGUGGACAAAAAGAUGACACCACCACCUGAAGGAACUUUUAAAGCAAUGAAUGAAGCACCUUGAAAAGUUAGAUUUUGGUUAAGAGACACAUCCCCAAAGUUAAAUGAAAAGGUAGAACCUGGCUUUGCAAAACUGAUGAAAAAUGGCCAUGUAUGCUACAAAGUAAGACCCUUUUUUUGACAUUUUUUUUUUUCCAUGAGAGUCAACAGGGGAAAGUUUGGCUAAUGUUUUCUAUCACUAAAGACUUAAAAAAUAACUGGAAACAUUCCCAUAGGCUUUGUUUGUUUGUUUUUAAGAGGCUUGUUUCUCGUUUUUCCAUGCAAAUUAAAAUUCCUAGUGUGGCUUCUAUAAAUUUGAACUUUUGAAAACUUUCCCUUAGCAUUUGGCUCAAAGUGUAGCUGGCACUUCCGUGUGACAACAGAGAAAUUUCAGUUCUGCUUUUCUUCAGAGCUGCGUGUUAUGGGUUAGAUAAGUAAACUUGGCUUUCUCUGUUCUAACGACAG
rnacentral:lncRNA from 10 species